UCGGAUUGCAGGCUGAAAUUCGCCUGCAUGAAGCCGGAAUUGCUAGUAAUGGCAGGUUAGCAUACUGCCGUGAAUACGUUCCCGGGCCUUGUACACACCGCCCGUCACACCAUGAGAGUUGGGAAUACCCGAAGCCUGUGAGCUAACUUAUAGAGGCAGCAGUCGAAGGUAGAAUCAAUGAUUGGGGUGAAGUCGUAACAAGGUAGC
rnacentral:rRNA from 1 species